UACGUAGGUGGCAAGCGUUGUCCGGAUUUAUUGGGUUUAAAGGGUGCGUAGGCGGUCUAUUAAGUCAGUGCUGAAAUAUCCCGGCUUAACCGGGAGGGUGGCAUUGAUACUGAUGGACUUGAGUGCGGUCGAGGUAGGCGGAAUUGACGGUGUAGCGGUGAAAUGCUUAGAUAUCGUCAAGAACACCGAUAGUGAAGACAGCUUACUAGACUGUAACUGACGCUGAGGCACGAAAGUGUGGGGAUCAAACAGG
rnacentral:rRNA from 1 species